GGGGCUGUACUGGUUUCGACGUGGGUUCGGAAUCGCUGUGGGGCAUGCCGAGGAUUCAGGUCACCUCGUAAAUCCAUCUGAAAAAAACCAACUGCGAACGACUCUUCGUACGCUCUCGCGGCUUAAUCCCCGCGGACCUCACACCAGCUCGCCGAUGGGCUGGGCCGAUGGCGCAAGCCUGAAGCAGUGAGGUAAUCCACAUCGGCUGGCCCCGGUCCGUGCACCUUGGAUCAGGGCGAGACAAUAGGGUGCUGGCUUCCUGGGUAGCGUGCGGCUGCGCGAUCCAGGCGGCGAGACACAAAACAGACCGCUAAGCAUGUAGAACUGCUCGGUAAAGGCUUGCGGACGCGGGUUCAAUUCCCGCCAGCUCCACCA
rnacentral:tmRNA from 1 species